GUGGAAUAUUGCGCAAUGGGGGAAACCCUGACGCAGCCAUACCGCGUGUGUUAAGAAGGUUUUCGGAUCGUAAAGCCCUGUUAUCAGGGAUGACAUAAAGACUGUACUCAACAAGAAAGUCACGGCUAACUAUGUGCCAGCAGCCGCGGUAAUACGUAGGGGACAAGCGUUGUCCGGAUUUACUGGGCGUAAAGGGCACGCAGGCGGUUUUUUAAGUCAGAUGUGAAAGGUACCGGCUCAACCGGUGACAUGCAUUUGAAACUGAAAGACUUGAGUAUUGGAGAGGCAAGUGGAAUUCCUAGUGUAGCGGUGAAAUGCGUAGAUAUUAGGAGGAACACCGGUGGCGAAGGCGGCUUGCUGGACAAAUACUGACGCUGAGGUGCGAAAGCGUGGGGAGCAAACA
rnacentral:rRNA from 1 species